rnacentral:tRNA from 1 species
GGGAGCGUAGUUCAACGGACAGAAUACCAGGUUUCGACCCUGAUGAUAGAGGUUCAAUUCCUCUCGCUCCUA